rnacentral:rRNA from 1 species
UCAGUAACGGCGAGUGAAGCGGCAACAGCUCAAAUUUGAAAUCUGGCUCUUUUAGGGUCCGAGUUGUAAUUUGUAGAGGAUGCUUCGGCGUCGGCUCCGGUCUAAGUUCCUUGGAACAGGACGUCAUAGAGGGUGAGAAUCCCGUAUGUGAUCGGUUGCCAUUGCUAUGUGAAGCUCCUUCGACGAGUCGAGUUGUUUGGGAAUGCAGCUCUAAAUGGGAGGUAAAUUUCUUCUAAAGCUAAAUACUGGCCAGAGACCGAUAGCGCACAAGUAGAGUGAUCGAAAGAUGAAAAGCACUUUGGAAAGAGAGUCAAAAAGUACGUGAAAUUGUUGAAAGGGAAGCGCUUGCAACCAGAUCUGCCUGCAGUUGCUCAUCCGGGCUUUUGCCCGGUGCACUCUUCUGCUGUCAGGCCAGCAUCAGUUCGGGCGGUCGGAUAAAGGCUUCGGGAAUGUAGCUCCUCUCGAGGAGUGUUAUAGCCCGUUGCGAAAUGCGGCCAGCCUAAACUGAGGUCCGCGCUUCGGCUAGGAUGCUGGCGUAAUGGUUGUAAGCGGCCCGUCUUGAAACACGGACCAAGGAGUCUAACAUCUGUGCGAGUGUUUGGGUGUCAAACCCGUACGCGUAAUGAAAGUGAACGGAGGCGGGAACCCCUCGGGGUGCACCGUCGACCGAUCCUGAUGUCUUCGGAUGGAUUUGAGUAAGAGCAUAGCUGUUGGGACCCGAAAGAUGGUGAACUAUGCCUGAAUAGGGUGAAGCCAGAGGAAACUCUGGUGGAGGCUCGCAGCGGUUCUGACGUGCAAAUCGAUCGUCAAAUUUGGGCAUAGGGGC